rnacentral:rRNA from 1 species
UAGGGGGUAGCAAUAUUCCCUAGUUGGAGUGGCGCAAGGGUGCGUAACACGUGGGCAAUCUGCCGUGAAGACUGGGAUAACUCGCUGAAAGGCGAGCUAAUACCGGAUGUGACUGUUGGGAAGCAUUUUCUGACAUUCAAAGCUGGGGACCCGCAAGGGCCUGGCGCUUUACGAUGAGCCCGCGGCCUAUCAGCUAGUUGGUGAGGUAACGGCCCACCAAGGCUAAGACGGGUAGCUGGUCUGAGAGGACGACCAGCCACACUGGAACUGAGACACGGUCCAGACACCUACGGGUGGCAGCAGUCGAGAAUUUUUCACAAUGGGCGCAAGCCUGAUGGAGCGACGCCGCGUGGGGGAUGAAGGGUUUCGAUCCGUAAACCCCUGUCAUUUGCGAACAAACCUGGUGCAAUAACACUGUACUAGUUGAUUGUAGCGGAAGAGGAAGGGACGGCUAACUCUGUGCCAGCAGCCGCGGUAAUACAGAGGUCCCAAGCGUUGUUCGGAUUCACUGGGCGUAAAGGGUGCGUAGGUGGCCGUGGAAGUUCGGUGUGAAAGCUCGGAGCUCAACUCCGAAAUGGCAUUGAAUACUCUACGGCUGGAGGGUCGGAGGGGAGACUGGAAUUCUCGGUGUAGCA